rnacentral:rRNA from 1 species
AGCUUGCUCCACCGGAAAAAGAAGAGUGGCGAACGGGUGAGUAACACGUGGGUAACCUGCCCAUCAGAAGGGGAUAACACUUGGAAACAGGUGCUAAUACCGUAUAACAAUCAAAACCGCAUGGUUUUGAUUUGAAAGGCGCUUUCGGGUGUCGCUGAUGGAUGGACCCGCGGUGCAUUAGCUAGUUGGUGAGGUAACGGCUCACCAAGGCCACGAUGCAUAGCCGACCUGAGAGGGUGAUCGGCCACAUUGGGACUGAGACACGGCCCAAACUCCUACGGGAGGCAGCAGUAGGGAAUCUUCGGCAAUGGACGAAAGUCUGACCGAGCAACGCCGCGUGAGUGAAGAAGGUUUUCGGAUCGUAAAACUCUGUUGUUAGAGAAGAACAAGGAUGAGAGUAACUGUUCAUCCCUUGACGGUAUCUAACCAGAAAGCCACGGCUAACUACGUGCCAGCAGCCGCGGUAAUACGUAGGUGGCAAGCGUUGUCCGGAUUUAUUGGGCGUAAAGCGAGCGCAGGCGGUUUCUUAAGUCUGAUGUGAAAGCCCCCGGCUCAACCGGGGAGGGUCAUUGGAAACUGGGAGACUUGAGUGCAGAAGAGGAGAGUGGAAUUCCAUGUGUAGCGGUGAAAUGCGUAGAUAUAUGGAGGAACACCAGUGGCGAAGGCGGCUCUCUGGUCUGUAACUGACGCUGAGGCUCGAAAGCGUGGGGAGCAAACAGGAUUAGAUACCCUGGUAGUCCACGCCGUAAACGAUGAGUGCUAAGUGUUGGAGGGUUUCCGCCCUUCAGUGCUGCAGCUAACGCAUUAAGCACUCCGCCUGGGGAGUACGACCGCAAGGUUGAAACUCAAAGGAAUUGACGGGGGCCCGCACAAGCGGUGGAGCAUGUGGUUUAAUUGGAAGCAACGCGAAGACCCUUACCAGGUCUUGACAUCCUUUGACCACUCUAGAGAUAGAGCUUCCCCUUCGGGGGCAAAGUGACAGGUGGUGCAUGGUUGUCGUCAGCUCGUGUCGUGAGAUGUUGGGUUAAGUCCCGCAACGAGCGCAACCCUUAUUGUUAGUUGCCAUCAUUCAGUUGGGCACUCUAGCAAGACUGCCGGUGACAAACCGGAGGAAGGUGGGGAUGACGUCAAAUCAUCAUGCCCCUUAU